rnacentral:lncRNA from 1 species
AGUGCAUCUGCAGCGAGGGGUUCUCAUUAGUCCCCUUCUCUAGCUUCAGUUUAUUUCUAUGAGUGCGAUGAGUUGGGUCACAUGAGGAGACAAUGUCAUCGACCCACAAUAGGCAGUCUUAGCAGAGGGAUCAGCCCUCGUCUUCUGCACAGGUUUCUUCAGCUCCAACUCAGUCAGCUAGGGGUGGAGUCCAGGUAGCCAGAGGUCGCCCCAGGGGUGAGGACCAUUCUGGCGGUGGCCAGGCCCGUUUCUUUUCCCUUCUAUAUCGGAGGGAUGCUAUUGCCUCGGAUGCAGUUAUCACAGGUAUUCUCUCAGUCUGCCACAUGAAUGCUUCUAUUUUAUUUGAUCCCGAAUCUACCUAUUCAUAUGUGUCCUCCUAUUUUGCUCAUCAUUUGGUAUGACCCGUGGUUGUCUUGCCUUGCCCGUGCACGUAUCUACCUCGGUGGGUGAUACUAUUAUUGUCGAUCAUGUAUACCGAUCCUGUCUGGUUACUAUUGGGGGUCUGGAGACCCGAGUUGACCUGUUAUUGUUGGGCAUUAUAGAUUUCGACGUGAUUCUGGGUAUGGAUUGGCUCUCUCCGUACCAUGCUAUUCUGGACUAUCAUGCUAAGACAGUUAUAUUAGCUAUUCCAGGUAUUCCGAGGAUCGAGUGGCGAGGCGUGAAUGAUUAUGUACCUAGCAUUCUUUUCUAAAAGCCCAACGGAUGGUUGGAAAGGGUUGUUUAUCAUAUUUGGCUUUCGUGAGAGACGUGGAAGCCGAGGCUCCUAGUCUUGAUUCGGUUCACGUUGUUAGGGAUUUCCCUGAUGUGUUUCCAGCGGACUUGCCAAGCAUGCCGUCGGACAGGGACAUUGAUUUUGAUAUUGAUCUGGUGCCGGGAACUCAGCCCAUCUCUAUUCCUCCCUGUCAUAUGGCACUAGCGGAGCUAAAGGAGUUGAAAAAACAACUUCAGGAACUCCUAGAUAAGAGGUUCAUUCGCCCGGGUGUGUCACCUUGAGGUGCACCGGUAUUAUUUAUAAAGAAGAAUAAUGGCACAAUGAGAAUGUGCAUUGACUACAGACAGUUGAAUAAGGUGACAAUGAAGAACAAAUACCCACUACCCCGUAUUGAGGAUUUAUUUGAUCAGCUCUAGGGAGCAAGGGUAUUCUUUAAGAUUGACCUUCGAUCAGGAUAUCACUAGCUGAAGAUUAGGGAUUCAGACAUUAUAAAUAUGGCUUUCAGGACAAGAUAUGGGUACUACGAGAUUCUAGUGAUGUCUUUCGGGCUGACUAAUGCCCCAGCCGCGUUCAUGCACUUGAUGAAUAGUGUAUUUCGUCCUUAUCUGGAUUAUUUUGUGAUCGUGUUUAUUGAAGAUAUUCUGGUGUAUUAGCGUAGUCAGAAGGAGCACGCGCAUCACUUGAGGGUGGUCUUGCAGAGGUUGAGAGAGGAGAAGCUUUAUGCAAAGUUUUCCAAAUGUAAAUUCUAGCUAAGUACUGUGGCUUUUCUGGGACACGUGGUGUCCAACGAUGCCAUUCAGGUUGACCCAAAGAAGAUUGAGGCGGUUCAACAUUGGCCCACACCGUCCUCAGCUACUGAGAUUUUAGAGUUUCCUUGGUUUGGCGGGUUAUUACCGCAGGUUCGUUCAUGGCUUUUCAUCUAUUGCUUCGCCUUUGACAAAGUUGACACAGAAUAAUGCUCCAUUUGUGUGGUCGGAUGAAUGCAAGGAGAGCUUCUAGAAGCUCAAGUUGGCUUUGACCACAGCUCCGGUACUAGUGUUGCCUUCAACUUCGGUUUCUGACAGGUUAUAUUGUAAUUCUUCGAGAGUUGGGAUCGGUUAUGUAUUGAUGUAGGAGGGUAGAGUAAUUGCUUAUCCUUCUCAUCAGCUAAAGCCCCAUGAGAAUAACUACCCUGUUCAUGACUUAGAGUUGGCUGCAAUUGUUCAUGACUUAAAGAUUUGGAGGCAUUAUCUAUAUGGUGUAUCUUGUGAAGUAUAUACAAACCGUCACAAUCUUCAACACUUGUUUAAGCAGAAGGAUCUUAAUCUGAGACAACGGAGAUGGCUUGAGUUACUCAAAGAAUAUGAUAUUACCAUUUUGUAUCAUCUCAGGAAGGCCAAUGUAAUGGCCGAUGCUUUGAGCUGGAAGGCUAUUAGCAUGGGUAGUCUGGCAUACAUUCUAGUUGGGGAGAGGCCCCUUGUGGUUUAUAUUCAGGCCUUGGCUAAUCAGAUGGCAUGGUUAGAUAUUUUUGAGCCCAGUCGGGUGUUGGCUAGUGUGGUUUCCCAAUCUUCUUUAUAUGAUCGCAUCAGAGAAUGCCAGUAUGAUGACCCACAUUUGCUUGUCCUGAAGGACAGGGUCUAGCAUGAUGAUGCCAGAAGUGUGACCAUUGGAGAUGAUGGUGUAUUGUGGAUGCAGGGCCAGAUUUGCGUGCCCAAUGUGGAUGGUCUCCGGGAGUUGAUAUUAGAAGAGGCACACAGCUCGAGGUAUUCGAUUUAUCCCAGUGCCGCGAAGAUUUACCAGGAUUUGAGAGAGAACUACUAGUGGAGGAGGAUGAAAAAGGAUAUUGUGAAUUACGUGGCUCGGUGUCUCAAUUGUCAGCAAGUCAAAUAUGAGCAUCAGAGACCCGGUAGUGUUCUCCAGCGGAUGGAUAUUCCGAAGUGGAAAUGGGAGAAUAUUAUUGUGGAUUUUGUGAAUGGUCUUCCUCGUACCUCGAAGAAGUUUGAUUUGAUUUGGGUGAUUGUGGAUAGGCUGACCAAGUCCACGCACUUCAUUCCAGUAUGCACUACCUAUUCUGUGGAGAAGUUAGCAGAGAUAUUCAUCCGGGAGAUUGUACGGUUGCAUGGGGUCCCGAUUUCCAUUGUAUCAGAUAGGGGUAUCGUGUUUACUUCCUACUUCUGGAGGAAUUUUCAUCGGGAGUUGGGUAGACAGGUGCAGUUGAGCACAUCAUUUCCUCCACAGGACGGACGGGCAGUCCGAGCGUACUAUUCAAAUAUUGGAGGACAUGUUGUCUGCCUGUGCCAUUGAUUUUGGAGGUUCUUGGGCUGAAUUCUUGCCACUUGUGGAGUUUGCAUAUAAUAACAGCUAUCAAACCAGCAUCCACAUGGCACCGUAUGAGGCCUUAUAUGGGAGACGGUGUAGAUCUCUAGAGGGCAGUACGAGUGUACUAUCCAGAUAUUGGAGGGCAUGUUGCGUGCCUGUGCCAUUGAUUUUGGAGGUUCUUGGGCUGAAUUCUUGCCACUUGUGGAGUUUGCAUAUAAUAACAGCUAUCAAUCCAGCAUCCAGAUGGUGCCUUAUGAGGACUUAUAUGGGAGACGGUGUAGAUCUGCGGUCGAUUGGUUUGAGCCUGGCGAGGCUAGAUUAUUGGGGACAGAGAUAGUUCAAGAUUCCUUAGAGAGGGUGAAAGAGAUCCAGGAGAGACUUCGUACAGCUCAGUCGCGUCAGAAGAGUUAUGCGGACCGGAAGGUUCAAGAUGUAUCUUAUACAGUGGGCGAGAAGCUCUUGUUGAAGGUUUCUCCUAUGAAAGGAGUUAUGAGGUUUGGAAAGAAAGGAAGAUGAGUCCAAGGUUUAUUGGACCUUUUGAGAUACUUAGAAGGAUUGGGGAGGUGGCCUAUAUGCUUGCUUUGCCACCUAUCUUGUCGGGAGUUCACCCGGUGUUCCAUGUUUCUAUGCUCCGGAAGUAUGUUGGGGACCCAUCUCAUGUGUUAUAUUUCAGCACGAUCCAGUUGGAUUAAGACUUGAACUAUGAUGUGGAGCCGGUGGCUAUUUUGGGUCGUCAAGUUCAGAAGUUGAGAUCAAAGGACAUAGCUUCGGUGAAGGUGCAGUGGAGAAGUCGGCCCGUGGAGGAAGCCACUUGGGAGACCGAGCAGGAUAUGCGCAGCAAAUAUCCUCACUUGUUUGAUACUCCAAGUAUAUUUCUUGACCCGCUCGAGGACGAGCAUUUGGUUAAGUUAGGGAGGAUGUAACGACCUGACCCGUCGUCACGUAAGUUACCGCCCUGUUUUCCCCGUUUUAUGCUUUUAUAUGUUUCAAUAUAUGUGUUUGGAGAGUUUGAAGUAAUUCGAAUGGAGUUUGGGUAGAAAUGAGACAAUUAGUCUCUUUAUGAGGAGGUUUGUUUGGAAAAGUCAACUGAACAUUGACUUAUGAGUUAGAGCGCUCGGAAUGGACUUUCGAUAAUUCUACUAGUUUCGGAUGGUGAUUUGUGACUUAGGAGCAAAAUCGGAACUGAAUUUGGAGGUCGGUGUAGAAUUAGGCUUGAAUUGGCUAAGCUAGAAUUUCGGCGAAGUCCGGUUGAUAGGUGAGAUUUUGAUCCGGGGGUCAAAAUGGAAUUUCAACAGUUGCAUUAGCUUCUUUAGGUGAUUUCGGAUAUUUGUGCAAAUUUUCAGACCAUUCGGAGGUGUUUAGGUCGGGUUUUGGGUCAAAUGCAAGUUUCGGAAGUUUUGGUUUAACUUAGUCUUGACUACGUGGUAAUUUAAUGAUUUUGAUGUAUAUGAUAGUAUUUUUCUAUUACGAGCAAGUUUGAAUGAAGUAAUAAAACAUAUCUAUGCUUUUGGUUGAGGUCCCGAGGGCCUCAGGGUGAUUUAGGAUGGCUAAUGGGAAGUUUUGAAGUUAAAAAUGCAGCAGAAAAUUGUAGAGCAAAAUUGGUCAUCCUGAUCGCAAGCCAAGGCCUGCGAUCGCAUAGAAGGAUAAAGGGAGGCCUGGCUGUUGUUCUCUGCGAUCGCAUUAAGAUGUCUGCGAUCGCAUAAGAGGCCGGGGGCCGGUGUGUUUUGUUCUUCACGAUCGCCGCGUUUGGAACACGAUUGCAUAGUUAUGAGUGGUAAGGCAUCGCGAUCGCAUGGGGAUGGCCGUGAUCGCAUAGGCCAUUUUGGAUGCCUGGUAAGUUUGUUCUAUGCGAUCGCACAGAAGUAAAGUGUUGGGCAGAGAAGGGUUUUUAAUAACAUUUCAUCCGCGAACCAAACAUAAGUUCCUCCAUUUUAAAAGCAAAAAUGAGAGCUUUUUGAGCGAUUUGAAGCGUAUUUUCAAUGGGUAUUGAUUGGAGGUAAGUCUCUUGACUUAAAAAUACCAUUUUUAGGAAGAAUCAACCCUUAAUUCCAUGAAAUUGUGUAGAAAUUUUGGAGAACUAGGGCUUAGUUUUUAGAAACGAAUUUUGGGGAUUUCAAAGGUCAUUCGAGCUCCCUUUUCGACAAACCUUAUAUGUACGGACUCGUGGCGAGACAAGGAAUCCGAUGAUGUGAAUUUUGGAAUUUUUCGAGAAGUGGGCCCGAGGCUCGGGUUUUACCAACUUCAUAAUUUUUAGCAUUUUUAGAAUAAUUUCAAUUGGGUUAUGUUUAUUUAGUCUAUAAUAACAUAUUUGUUGUGGUUUUAACUAGAUUGACGCGUGUAGACGGAGAUUCAAUGGGAAAAGGCAUUGCGGAUACGCCUGGUUAGAGGUGAGUAGUUUGUAUAGAUGAUGGCCUGAGGGUUUGAAACCCCGAUUUAUCACAUCGUGAUGCCAUGUUCGGGUGUGACUCGCAUCCCAUGGCAGGUGCAGGAUUGUAAAUGAUUAGGGAUUGUGACUUGGUCCAUCCCGAGAGAUAAAUAAAAUUAUGGGCGGCUGACAUGCACCUUGUAAUGAAUAUAUGUGGGCUUAUUUCCAUGUUUGGGGCCUUGUGCCGAUCUGUAGCAUCCGUCUAGGAUGAAUAUCUGUGUGAUAAGAUGAUUUGCAUAAUCUUUGAUCUCAGUCAUGUGCUUAAUCACUGUUAUUAAAUGCUAAGUCAUCUUAUUUCUGAACUUAACUAAUUAAAUUAUAUUCACCUUAAUAUCUGGAAACUAGGAAAGAAUUUGAUUGAAUCUGUUAUCUUACUUACAUGCAUACUGUGGACUGAAUAUUGGGUCGGGCUGCACGCCGCAGCAGUGAUAUAAUGAUAUUGCGCUUGGGCUGAAGGAGCCCCUCCGGUGUCUCUAUACACCCCUAGUGAGCACUGUCGACGUUAAACUGUGACGACCCAAAGGGUCAUCACUUAUUAUAUUAGUCAUUUCGAGCUUUAGAGGCCUUAAAAACCUCACUAUUAGUUGCCUCGAUUUGCGUGCAUAGUCCGGGCAUGAAGCCGGAAAUUUUUCAUGUUGAUAUAUAUGAAUUAUGUGAAACAUUUGAAGAAUUUUUAUGUUAAUAUUGAUAGAGUUGACUUUGAUCAACAUUUUUGGUAAAUGAACCUAGACCCGUGAUGUGACGGUCUCGGAAGGACUGUUGAAAAAUAUGGGACUUGGUCGUAUUCCCGGAAUUGAAACCCGAGGUCCCAGGCCCGAGAAAGAAUUUUUCCGUGAAAUUGUUUUCUGAAAAUGUUUAUGGAAAAUAAAAAUAAAAUUUGAUAAAAAAGUACUGGUAUCAGGCUCGUAUUUUGGUUCCAGCGCCAGUACAUGUCAUAUAUGAUGUUUAAGCGCCUGUAAAGUUUGGUUGAAAAUGGACGUCGUUUGACGUGUUUCGGCCUUAAAUUAGAAAAUUUAGAAGUUUAUAAAGUUUGAAAGAUUUCUUGGAUUUAAGGCUCAAAUUAUUGAUUUUGAUGUUAUUUUGGCGAUUUGAUUGCUCGAGCAAGUUCGUAUGAUAUUUUUGAGUCAGUGUACAUGUUUGGUUUGGAGCCCUGAGGGCUCGGGUGAGUUUUGGAUAGGUGUCAGAGUACUUUUGUCUAAAUGCAGCAGAAAUUACUGUCUGUUGUGCCUAGUGAUUUCUUUCUAUACGAUCGCAUAGGUAGUGUUGCGAUAGCAUAGAUCAAUGUCUAGAGGUCCAAGAAUCCUUAUAUGCGAUCGCAUUAGGUGCCAUGCGGUCGCAUAGCUAGCCAGUCCCCUUCUAUGUGAUCGCAUAGUACUUUAUGCGAUCCCAUUGAACAAACUACCCAACCCCUCUUCUCCUUCUAUGCGAAUGCAACUUGUCUUUUGCAAUCGCAUAGAACACCAGUGCAUACUCUAUGCGAUCGCAGUCCCUUCUAUGCGAUCGCAUAGAGCAAUUUUCGCCCAGUGAUUUUUUAGUCCCAAAACAGAACAGAACAGGAUUAAAUCCCAUAUCUCAAAACUCUCUAUUCUUCAACACCAUUUUUGGGCGAUUCUUCAUCAAAUGUCUUGGUGAGUAUUGUUUAACUCAUUUUCUUCAUUUCUCUUCACAUAAAUCAAAUUCUUAGGCCUAAACAUGUGAAAUUGGGUAGAAAAUUAGUGAAAUGGGCAUAGUUAGGGUUUUCAAAUGAUUUGUGAUUUAGACCUCGUUUGGGGUCGAACUUAAGAACAAAUUAUAUAUUUGAACUCAUGGAUGAAUGGGUUGUCAGAAAUUGGUUCGAACCUCGUAUUUUGACCACGUAGGCCCGGGGUCAAUUUUUACUAUUCCGGGCAGAAUCUUGUAAAAUAAAUAUUUAGCCAUUUGGAUUAUUUUGUUAAGUAUUAUUGAUGAUAUUAUAUCAAUUUUGUAUAUAUACAAUUGGAUUGGAGUCAAAUUCGAAAGGAAAGGGCAUUGCUUAAGGGUUGAGUUUGCCGUAAACCUUCGAGGUAAGUGUUUGAUCUAUCCUAGCUUGAGGGAAUAGGAGUUGGGUUUAUGUGCUAAUUGUUAUGUGUGGAGUCCGAUGUAGAGGCAUAGUGACGAGUAUCUAUGCGUUGGGGGUCGAGCAUGACCGUGAGUGUUAAAUUGAUUAAACUUAUAAUAAUCUUAUGUCAUUAGAUGAAAGGAAGGAUUAUUGGUUUCAUAUCGGUGAUAUUUAUAUUUUUGAUUUAAAGGAUAAUUUGUUUCAUACUGAUAAUAUAUAUAUAUUGUUGAUUAAUUAUUAUUGGUUUUCUGCCGGUAAUAUAUUGCAUUGAUUACGGUUAUUGGCCAUAGUUGCCGGUGACAUAUCGGAAGGGUCGGGGUGCACAUCAUUAACAGAUAUUGAUUAUUGUUAUUGGUCAUAGUUGCCGGUGACAUAUUGUCGGUGACAUAUCGGAAGGGUCGGGGUGCGCGCCACAUCGUUUACAGAUAUAGAGUAUUGUUAUUGGCCAUAGUUGCCGGUGACAAGGAAGAGUGAUUAUGCACGAUGGGUCUUUCCAUGCCUUGAUUUGAGAGUGUGCGAGUAAAAGUACGAUGGGUGAUGCCGUACAUCUUAAUUGAUUAUUGAUGAGAAUGAGAGUAAAAGCAUGAUGGUUGGUGCCGUGCAGAUUUUUAUUUACCCGUUCUCCUUAAUUGAAGUUCAUUUAUUCUGCACCUGUUAUUACAUUUUGUUGCUACCCCAGAACAUGUUUUCCCUUCCCAAAUAUUAAAUGUUGUUACCUGUGGUUUUGUUAUAUAUGUAUUUUGAGCUGUACAGGUUUAUGUGAGUGUCUGGUCCUAGCCUUGUCACUACUUCGCCUUGAUAGGCCGGACACUUACCAGCACAUGGGGUUGGUUGUGCUGAUUCUACACUCUGCACUCUUUUUGCGCAGAUACAGGUUUUGGACGGCAGCAGCACGGACACUUACUAGCACAUGGAGUCGGUUGUGCUGAUUCUAUACUUUACAGUCUUUUUGCGUAGAUACAGGUUUUGGACAGCAGCAGUAGCAGUAGUGUGGGUGUUAGCUUUUGAUCGUCGAGACAUCGAGGUAGCCUUGCAGGCGUCCGCAGGACCCGGUGUCUCCUCUAUCAUUAUUUUCAGUCUGUUAUCUCAUAUAUUCGAGACAAACAAUAUUUUAUUUCUUUCAGACGAUUGUGUGUAUUACUCUUAGAAGUUCGUAAGUAUUGUGACACCAGUUCUUGGGUAGGUUUUUAUGUUGAAAUUUUCAGUAUCGCAUCUAGUAAAAUUUGUUAAGUCUUCCGCUAAAUUUAUUUAUUCCGCUGAUAUUUUAAUAUUGUUGAUAAUAGGUUUAAAUAAGUACUGUUAAAAAUAGGAAAAUAUAUGCAUGAUUUGGCUUGCCUAGCUCCUAUUAGUCAUGACCCCUGAUGGUGGAAAAUUCAGGUCGUGACAUAAACGGAUCGGGCUGCAUGCCGCAGCGGUUUCAUGUGCAUUGCAUUGCAUUUUUAUCUGAUACUUGACUGUUAUAUUUGAUAUUGCUUUGCUGUUAGUUCGUAGCUCCUUAAGACUGUUAGUUUUAGCUUUGGUUUGUGGAAUUUUGUGGAUUUCUUACUUCCAGACGUUAUAUAUUCUUAUUACUCAAUGAGUCGGUAGUACUCACCCCUACUCCCUGCACCUUGUUUGCAGAUUCAGGUACACCGGAGUCUUAGCUGACACUUGUAGUCUCCAGAUAUUUUCCAGAGUCAUUGAGGUAGCUUCUUGACGUUCGCAAGACCUAGCUGCUCUUCAUAUUCCAGUUUAUUAUUAUUAUAUAGAUUUUCAGAUUUUAUUUUUUUCAUUCAGAUAUUAUUAUCCAGUUUUGUUUAGAGGCUCUAGACUCGUGACCUCUGAUCUUAU